rnacentral:rRNA from 1 species
UACGUAGGGUGCAAGCGUUAAUCGGAAUUACUGGGCGUAAAGCGUGCGCAGGCGGUUGUGCAAGACAGAUGUGAAAUCCCCGGGCUUAACCUGGGAAUGGCAUUUGUGACUGCACGGCUAGAGUGUGCUAGAGGGGGUAGAAUUCCACGUGUAGCAGUGAAAUGCGUAGAUAUGUGGAGGAAUACCGAUGGCGAAGGCAGCCCCCUGGGAUAACACUGACGCUCAUGCACGAAAGCGUGGGGAGCAA